rnacentral:rRNA from 1 species
ACGAACGCUGGCGGCGUGCUUAACACAUGCAAGUCGCACGGAAAGGCCCUGCUUUUGUGGGGUGCUCGCGUGGCGAACGGGUGAGUAACACGUGAGUAACCUGCCCUUGACUUUGGGAUAACUUCAGGAAACUGGGGCUAAUGCCGGAUAGGAGCUCCUGCUGCAUGGUGGGGGUUGGAAAGUUUCGGCGGUUGGGGAUGGACUCGCGGCUUAUCAGCUUGUUGGUGGGGUAGUGGCUUACCAAGGCUUUGACGGGUAGCCGGCCUGAGAGGGUGACCGGCCACAUUGGGACUGAGAUACGGCCCAGACUCCUACGGGAGGCAGCAGUGGGGAAUAUUGCACAAUGGGCGGAAGCCUGAUGCAGCAACGCCGCGUGCGGGAUGACGGCCUUCGGGUUGUAAACCGCUUUCGCCUGUGACGAAGCGUGAGUGACGGUAAUGGGUAAAGAAGCACCGGCUAACUACGUG